rnacentral:ncRNA from 2 species
UGACAAAACUCUGGAGAGCAGUAAGCACCGAAGGAGCAACUCUUAUUUAAGGGGAAUCUCUCAGGUUAGUGUGACAGAGGAUACUGU